rnacentral:rRNA from 1 species
UGGCGGCAGGCCUAACACAUGCAAGUCGAGCGGAAACGAGUUAUCUGAACCUUCGGGGAACGAUAACGGCGUCGAGCGGCGGACGGGUGAGUAAUGCCUAGGAAAUUGCCCUGAUGUGGGGGAUAACCAUUGGAAACGAUGGCUAAUACCGCAUGAUGCCUACGGGCCAAAGAGGGGGACCUUCGGGCCUCUCGCGUCAGGAUAUGCCUAGGUGGGAUUAGCUAGUUGGUGAGGUAAGGGCUCACCAAGGCGACGAUCCCUAGCUGGUCUGAGAGGAUGAUCAGCCACACUGGAACUGAGACACGGUCCAGACUCCUACGGGAGGCAGCAGUGGGGAAUAUUGCACAAUGGGCGCAAGCCUGAUGCAGCCAUGCCGCGUGUGUGAAGAAGGCCUUCGGGUUGUAAAGCACUUUCAGUCGUGAGGAAGGUAGUGUAGUUAAUAGCUGCAUUAUUUGACGUUAGCGACAGAAGAAGCACCGGCUAACUCCGUG